rnacentral:rRNA from 1 species
GACUUCGGUCUCUGAGUAGAGCGGCGCACGGGUGAGUAACGCGUGGAUGAUCUACCCUUGAGUUCGGGAUAACGGUGCGAAAGCGCCGCUAAUACCGUAUAACAAUCCAUUUCAUCGUGGGUUCAAAGCAGGCCUCUUCAUGAAAGCUUGCGCUUGGGGAUGAGUCCGCGUCCCAUUAGCUUGUUGGCGGGGUAACGGCCCACCAAGGCUACGAUGGGUAGCUGGUCUGAGAGGAUGAUCAGCCACGCUGGAACUGAAACACGGUCCAGACUCCUACGGGGGGCAGCAGUGGGGAAUAUUGCGCAAUGGGGGAAACCCUGACGCAGCGACGUCGUGUGAGGGAAGAAGGCCUUCGGGUCGUAAACCUCUGUCAGAAGGGAAGAACAUCCGGGAGUCGAACAGCCUCCCGGCCUGACGGUACCUUCAGAGGAAGCGCCGGCUAACUCCGUGCCAGCAGCCGCGGUAAUACGGAGGGCGCAAGCGUUAAUCGGAAUCACUGGGCGUAAAGCGUGCGUAGGCUGUUUGAUAAGUCAGACGUGAAAUCCCUCGGCUCAACCGGGGAACUGCGUUUGAUACUGUUGAACUAGAGUCCUGGAGAGGGUGGCGGAAUUCCUGGUGUAGGAGUGAAAUCCGUAGAUAUCAGGAGGAACACCGGUGGCGAAGGCGGCCACCUGGACAGGUACUGACGCUGAG